GCGGCGUUUGUCUCCUCCCGCUUGCCGUAGGAAGUGGCUGCUCGGCGAGCCCGAGGACUGGGACCGUCGCCUGCCCCACCCCCUCCGGCGCGGGACCCGUUAGCUGAGUCCCGGUCCCCGCGCGGCCGCUCCGGCUGCCCCGUGGCCGAGGGACUUGGGACUAGGCGAACGCACGCUCGCUCUUGGGUUUGCUGAAAUGGAACUUGAGCAUCGCCGAAGGAAAUACUCGGAUCUGAGACACCCACCAACAGAAUUUAGGGGGGGGUCGCAGAAGACCCAGGCCAGUGCACACCCUGUGUCAGGGGUGCGCCCGCCGGGAGAGACAGACCGAACUCGUCCACAUUCCGUCCCUGCGGCGUUCCCGGUGCUUGUGCCUCAUUAACCGCCCUGUCGAGGCGAGUGUGCACGCACUGGUACAGUUUCAGGCAACCCAGUUCCGAACCGAACCCAACCAGCUGCAUCCAGUAACUGAAGGAUGGAGGGCAACGCAGAAGGGAGGAGAUUGAGUUUUCCUCCACACCCCAGCAGAACCCUGGCAGCCAGCCAAAAACCUCCAGAACCCAACCACAGCCAUGCUCAAGUCCACUCCCCACAAGCUUGGACAAGCCUCACCCACGAUGGAACCUGAAGAAAAACCCAGUUGCUGGAAACCAUGAAUGUCUGGGAGGAUAUACCUGUCAGUGCUCAGAGCUUACUCCUAGCUCUAUGGACAGAGAUUGCGUCUGGAAGUGCUAGAAGACCAUAGUGGUGCUGGGGAUUGAACCAGACUCAGUCAUACGCAAGGCUACUAUGUCCCAUCUCUCCAGCCCCUACACUAUAAUAAAAGCUAUAUGACUUUCUCUUUCCUUGUCUCUCUCAAAAUAGCUAUUAUACAUAAUGUUUUGAACCACAGAUGACUUUGGGUAACUGGG